rnacentral:rRNA from 1 species
AACGAACGCUGGCGGCGCGCCUAAUACAUGCAAGUCGAGCGAGAAGACGUAGCAAUACGUUUGUAAAGCGGCGAACGGGUGAGGAAUACAUGGGUAACCUACCCUCGAGUGGGGAAUAACUAGCCGAAAGGUUAGCUAAUACCGCGUACGCUCCUUGGACUUCGGUUCAGGGAGGAAAGCGAUACCGUGGGUAUCGCGCUCAUGGAUGGGCUCAUGUCCUAUCAGCUUGUUGGUGAGGUAACGGCUCACCAAGGCUUCGACGGGUAGCUGGUCUGAGAGGACGAUCAGCCACACUGGCACUGCGACACGGGCCAGACUCCUACGGGAGGCAGCAGUAAGGAAUAUUGCGCAAUGGGCGAAAGCCUGACGCAGCGACGCCGCGUGGGGGAUGACGGCCU